UAUAUUUUUUUUUUUUUUAUUUUUUAUAAAAAUAAUUUAUUUAUUUAAUGUUUUAGUAUUUAGUAAAAAUUAAUUUUUAGAUUUAUAGUUUAAUAGUAUUGUAAAAGAAAUUGUUAAAUUUUAUAAAGAAUUUUAUAGUACCUUUUGUAUCAGGGUUGAUUAAAAUUUUUAAUUUUUUUUUAAUUUCUCAAAAUUUAUAGAGUUAAUUUUAUUAUUAAUUUAUUGUGGUAAAAAUAUUUAUAAAAUAAUAUUAGUUUUGAAAUUUAAUUCGUUAUAUUAUAUUUAGUUAUUUAAGAUUUAAAUUUAAUUUAAAAUUUUAAAAGUUGUAUUAAUUUUAUUGAUUAAUAUUUUAAAUUUAAAUUAUUUUAGGGAUAAGCUUGAAAUUUUAAUAUAAUAAUUUAUUUAUUUUAAUAAUUUAUAGGAAUAGAAAUUUUUAUUUAAGUUUGUAAAAAUUUAUUAUUUAUUUAAUUUUAAUUUAUUAUAUUUAUAUUUAUUUUUAAUAUUAAAUUUUAUUAAUUAAUAUUUAAUUAAUAGUAAUAAUGAUUAAAUUAGUAUAAUAUAUAAAUUUAUAAAUUAUGAAUUCGGCAAAAAUUAUUUUCAUCUGUUUAACAAAAACAUUGUAUUAAGUUUAAUUUAAUAUAGGAUCUGCUCAAUGAUUUAUUAAAUAGCUGCAGUAUUUUGACUGUGCAAAGGUAGCAUAAUAAUUAGUCUUUUAAUUGAGGACUUGAAUGAAAGAUUUGAUGAGAAAUAGACUUUAUUAUUUAUAAAAUUAAAAUUUUAUUUUUAAGUAAAAAAGCUUAAAUUAUUUAAAGGGACGAUAAGACCCUAUAAAACUUUAUAAAUUUUGAUUUUAAUUUUUUUGGAUUCAUAAAUAUUUUAUAAUUAAAAUUUAUUUUAUUGGGGUGAUAAAAAAAAUUAUUAAACUUUUUUUAAAAUUUAACAUUAUUUAAUGAUUAGUUGAAUUAAAAUUUUUAAUUAAAGGAAAAAGUUACUUUAGGGAUAACAGCGUAAUUAAUUUUUUAAGUUCAAAUUUAAAAAUUAGUUUGCGACCUCGAUGUUGAAUUAAGAUUAAUCUUAGGUGCAAAAUUUUAAGUAUUAGGUCUGUUCGACCUUUAAAUUCUUACAUGAUUUGAGUUCAAACCGGUGUAAGCCAGGUUGGUUUCUAUCUUUUAUUAAUUGAAUUAUUUUAGUACGAAAGGAUUGAAUAAUUAAAUUAAAUUUUAUAUAAUGAAUUAAAAUAAUUUA
rnacentral:rRNA from 1 species